rnacentral:lncRNA from 1 species
CAGGAAAGCUUAUUAACAAAUACAUUCAGCACAGCUUGCAGGAAGCAACAAGUUUCAUGUAGAGUACCAUGGCGUCAUUAUGCAAGUGUCUGUCUGAGCAUGGUCAGUAAGAGAACUGGUGGUUUUGGUCCAUGAAAGAGCUGGGGUUCCUGGAAGUUUUUGGAAUGCCUGGCCAUGACAUUGGUUGGAGUCUGACUGGGCCCCAUGCAGAAAAUGCCACACUCUGCUGAGCUGACAUCUUUGUGUUCUGCUAGGAGGCCCAGGAAUUCAUAAAAGAAAAGACCUAAGGCACUUGAAAAUUUCGAAGCAGGCUCUCGUACAAUGCUGAUAUGUUGAAGACUCCAUGUGAUCAAGCCUUAGCCACAUUUUUAUGGAAGCCGAGCACCAGGGAGGCCCUUCUAGGAAGGAGCUUCAUUCCCAUCGGAAAGGUUGGCCAUGGCACCAGCCUCACACUGGUUGGAAAGGGCUCAUUGAGGAAUCUUUCCAGAGUGUUUCAUGACUUAACGUUUCAUGGCUGGCUCUGCACAACCUGCAAAUAAACAAAAACUAAAAC